UACGUAGGGGGCAAGCGUUGUCCGGAUUUAUUGGGCGUAAAGAGCGUGUAGGCGGCCAGGUAGGUCUGCUGUGAAAACUCGAGGCUCAACCUCGAGCUGUCGGCGGAAACCAUCUGGCUAGAGUCCGGAAGAGGAGAGUGGAAUUCCUGGUGUAGCGGUGAAAUGCGCAGAUAUCAGGAAGAACACCCAUGGCGAAGGCAGCUCUCUGGGACGGUACUGACGCUGAGACGCGAAAGCGUGGGGAGCGAACAGG
rnacentral:rRNA from 1 species